AUAAAUUUCAUCCACAUUAGUUGGAGAUCCUUACUUUGUAUUAUUGCUUAUUUUCUACAAUUUGUUGGUGAUUUUUGAUAUAUGAUGCCUCCUAAACGUUGAAAACAUUGUCGAAGUUUACUUCCUGCCGUUCUUAGCUACCUUCCUGAUAAUAUAACCGAUGUCAUUCUGAUGCAUUUGACGUGUAAAGAUGCUGUGAAAGCAAAUACCGUAUCAAAAAACAA
rnacentral:misc_RNA from 1 species